rnacentral:lncRNA from 1 species
GGAAUGUAACAAAAGGUCACCAAGAGUUUUGCCUAGGCCUUUCCUGGGCCUUGAAGCCUGACAAGAUAAUGAAGGAAUUCUUAACAGGACCCAUUUAGGAUUAAACAGGUUUCAUCUGAAGAAAGUCCCCAGGCCUCUACAAACAAGUUUAUUGGGGGUCUGAAGAAACUCCUCAAAGCUCCAUGUCUUAGCAGGAGAUGAAGCUCACAGGCACAAGGGACUUGCCUUGUAUCAGAUGAAACUUUGGACUUGGACUUUUGGGUUGAUGCUGGAAUGAGCUAAGACUUUCCAGGACUAUUGAAAAGGCAUGACUGUGUUUUGAAAUGUGAGGACAUGAGAAUUGAGAGAAGCCAGAGGCAGAAUUAUAUGGUUUGGCUGUGACCCCACCCAAACGUCAUCUUGAAUUGGAGUUUCCAUAAUCCCCACAUGUCAUAGGAGAAACCUGGUGGAAGGUAAUUGAAUGAUGGGGGCAGUUAUGCCCAUGCUGUUCUUGUGAUAGUGAAUGAGUUUUCACAAGAUCUGAUGGUUCUAUUAGGAGCUUUUUCCCCUUUCCUCAGCACUUCUUUUUUCUGCUGCCUUGUGAGGAAGGUGCCUUCCUUCCCCAUCACCUUCUGCCAUGAUUGUAAGUUUCCUGAGGCUUUCCCAGCCAUGUGGAACUGUGAGUCAAUUAAACUUCUUUUCCUUAUAAAUUACACACUUUUGGGUAUUUCUUUGUAGCAGAGUAAGAACCAACUGGAUACAUUAUAUGUAAAAGUUUUUAACUUUAUAUUAUUUAAAUACAUUUUUAACUCCACCUUUAUUACUACCACAAACUGCCUGGCUUGUUUUUCCUUCCUCUUCAGGAUUAGCAUUUCUGUAGAUCAGAGAGCUCUUGCAGCCUUGCUUAGAGAGGUGUCCUAUUACUGGUGAAUUGCUUUAAGCCUCUAAAGAAUUGCUAGUUUCUGUGCCAACAAAUAUGUUUUAAAGCUUGGCAGAAGAUAGAAAGGUUUAUUGUGUCUUGGAAAAUUGACAAACCACAGAAAGAUGAAAUAAAGUCUCAUCAAAUUUUCUGGGUCAUUGUGCCCAGAUUUAUGGUCA